AUCAUAUUGGCCAGGAGGGGGUUGCAUAGCCAUUGUCUCCAACUGCCAACAUCAGUGAGAUUCCUCCAAUUGUCUCCUAAUAAUCUUUUGGAAUGGAGAGGGUGUUGAGAAGUCUAUGACACUGACCACUGCAGCUCCCUGCUUUUAUCAGUAACAAAAUGUAUUAUUUUCUCCUGUGUCUUAAUUCUAAGAAAUAUAAUUAUAUUUAUGCCAGCUAUGAAUAUUGUCUCAUUUAAGUACAUUUAUAAAGCUGGUAUCUAAAGUUUGGAAGCUUUAAUAUCCUUAAAUUUUAUAU
rnacentral:lncRNA from 1 species